CGCGGUAGCGAAACAUUCGCAUCCCCUUCCUCACACGCUCUCCCACAUCCCUCCCUCUCUGACGCACGCUCGCCCGCAUCGCCCGCGCCGCCUCUCCCCAAGCUUCUCCCUCGCCCUCUCUCGCCCGCGCCGCCCCUCCCCGAGCUUCUCCCUCGUCCGCGUCGUCAGCACUCUCUCCCUCGCGCGCAUCGCCGGCACUCUACAGCACCAACUCCAUCGUUAAAAAUGUGAUUUUUCCUCCUACGGCUCUCCGAUCUGCAAUGGCGGUGCUCGAUCUGCGGCGUGGGCUAUCAAGACGGUGUGACGGAGCUGCUGCUGCCGGUUGCCUGCCCGGAGCUGCUGCCGGUUGCCUGCCCGAAGCUGUUGCCGCUGGUCGUCCUCCCGGAUCUGCUGCUUCAGGCGAUGCUCACAUCACCGUCACCCUCCCGCUCCUCUUCCUCCUCCUCGUUAGUUACUUCACCACCUCAGCAUCAACGAUGGGGGUGCUAGGAGGGGAGGGGCGGAUGGACCCUUCUUCGAGCCAUACAACCAUCGCAGAGUAGAGCAGGAAGCUCGUCUCCGAGAGCACCAGAUUCACAAGCAUGAUGGAUGGAGGGAUCUCUCAAAUGGUGCGGCUCCUUGUACUACAAUGACAGUGACAUGCCAGCCUCCCACACACGCAUAGCAUGCACUGAUUGACACCUCAGUAAUCAAAUGCAGGGGAGUAGCUAGCUUUGCUUGUAUGUGUGUGUACUAAGAUGAGGCAGUUAUCAAAUUAAGUGUCUUCUGAAAGCAACAAAUAUGAUGAUGAUACAGUACAAACUUGUAAGUCGCAUCAAACUCUGCUUCUACAAAAAAAACAACUCUGCGUCUGUUUUGGAGAAGAAAAAGUGAAGGAGAAAGAUUGUGUGUGUGUGUGGAUGAAAAUCAAGCAAAGAAAAAUGAUGUCCAGGCCACUUUAGUGUUCACCACUUGAUCCUCUCCACCUAAUUUGCCUUGCAGAUUAAUAGAUGUGGUGCAGAUGUGGUGGAGUAUAUCUUCUGGAAUGGGUAUGAACCGGCCAAAGUUCAGGUUCUUCGUUUCCUUCUUCAGGUGGAGUGAAAUUGAGAUCUGGGACUACCAUGCUUGAAAUUGGGCCAACGAUUUGCUGCUGUUGAUGUUGAGGAUCUGCUUCUUCCUUGCUGUUGAAGAUCUGCUGAUGUUGCUGGUGAGGAGCUGGACCAUCAAGGUGCUGGACGAGAAGCUGGGCCGGCUUUCGGCGAUAAUCCAACAAGUAUCACCGAGCCUGGAGGUUGUGGAGUACGCAGAUCCUGGGCAAGGAGCAGCGAGGUGCUGGGCGAGGAGUUAGGCCAGCUUCCGAGCUAAACUUCUCAUGGCCUUCUCCCCUGGCUCAGGCUAGCUGCACCUUGCCGACGACACGGGGAUGAAGGGAGGCAGUGCCGGCGAGGUGCACAGGGGCUGGUGGCCGGCGGCCGGCGAGGUGUGCUCCUGGGUCGGCGGCGACCAGGAAUCUGGGCGGCGAUGAGGAGGAGAUCCUAGGCAACGAUGAGCGGGAGAUCCUGGGCAGAGAAGUUGGGCGCCAGGUGAGCAGCGAGGAGAUCUUGGGCACGAGGUGGGCAGCGACGCGCUGGGCGAGGAUAAGCCGGGCGCGAGGUGGUCGACGACGCGCGAGGCGAGGAGAAGCAGGGCACGAGGUGGGCGACGAUGCGCUGGGCGAGGCGAUUCCGAUAUUUUUUGAAUUUCAAAUUGAUCGAUUGAAAGGGGAAUAGUUGUCCAUUACCGAUUUUUUGGGGCUGUCGGAAAUUUUCUUCCGCGCCUUACAAAAGUAAACGGAGGGAGUAUUUAGAACAGGAUGAACAUUUUCUUGGCCCUAAAAUGCAGUUUUGAAAUCGUGCAAUUUUUUCCUAAAUUCAAACAAAAUAGCGAGAA